GCCCGCCUAGCUCAAUCGGAUAGAGCGUCAGACUCUUACAUAGAGGCAGGGCAAUCUGAAGGCUGCGAGUUCGACCCUCGCGGUGGGCU